rnacentral:rRNA from 1 species
GAUGAACGCUGGCGGUAUGCUUAACACAUGCAAGUCGAACGGUCACUUCGGUGAUAGUGGCGGACGGGUGAGUAACGCGUGAGAAUCUGUCUUCAGGUCGGGGACAACAGUUAGAAAUGACUGCUAAUACCGGAUGUGCCGUAAGGUGAAAGAUUUAUUGCCUGAAAAAGAGCUCGCGUCAGAUUAGCUAGUAGGUGGUGUAAGAGACUACCUAGGCGACGAUCUGUAGCUGGUCUGAGAGGACGAUCAGCCACACUGGAACUGAGACACGGCCCAGACUCCUACGGGAGGCAGCAGUGGGGAAUUUUGGACAAUGGGCGAAAGCCUGAUCCAGCAAUGCCGCGUGAGUGGAGAAGGCCUCGGUUGUAAAGCUCUUUACCCGGGUAACGAUAAUGACCGUACCGGGACGAAUAAGCCCGGCGUAACUCCGUGCCAGCAGCCGCGGUAAGU